AUAUGUCACUGAGCUGAACAAGGAUGGAGACUCCUGGAUUGGUCUACAGGCCACAGAACGGACACAAACAGAAUGGGAAUGGAAAUGGGUGGAUGACUCACCGCUGACAGUAAAGUUCUGGGCAACAGGACACCCGCACAGCAACAAUUAUUACGCUGCAGCAUUCUGCGAUAAACAAGGAAAAUGGACACAGAGCGGAUAUAAUGAUCAGAAGAACUGGAUCUGUGAGAAAGAGCUUUCCUGUUUAUCUUGAGGACAGAGGGGUGUGUAGUGUUGGGAUCAACUUUGUCAAAUCAGACCAACUCACAUUUUACAUUUCUUCAGUUGUUCAUUCUGUGUUGCAUCCUGAACAACCUGGAUUACAUAGAUAUUGUUCCUCUGCCCUACACAGUGAACAGUCUGGUUGGAAGUCAUCCACACAACUACAUGUGCACUUACCCUCUCUGCAGAGAGGGAUAUUACAACAGCCUGUUUUCAAAAA